GGAAGCUCGGUGCCUGAAGGGGACCAGCCGCCAUCUCGAGUCUCUUGCCUCGCCCGUGCCCACCGGAGACAACUGACACCUGGGUCAUAGAAUCCUUAUGGGGGACCAACCUUGUAACGCCGGGAGAUCCACGCUUCCACCUGGAAGCUCGCGGGAAGCCAAGCCUCCCAAGAAACGCUGCCUUUUAGCUCCGCGGUGGAAUUACCCCGAAGGAACCCCCAACGGAGGCAGUACCCCUCUCCCCUCCGCACCGCCUCCGUCCUCAGCGGGCCUCAAGUCGCACCCUGCUCCCCCGGAGAAGUAGUGGGAGAUACUUCGACUCGAACCAGAUUGAAGUAUGACUCCAUUUUCUCGGUGCAUUUUUAAAAUAGUUCGUCCAAUGAAGACAGUGAUUAUUGACAUGCCAUCCUGCUUUUUCUGAUGUUCUGCACCUAGAAGUUGCAAUUUUUAAGUCGUAUGAUGUAAUCAGCUUAACUUCAUCAUCUGGAUUUGGAGAAUUCUGAGAUAUGACCAAGAUCAGACUAGUCCUUUAAGAUUGAAGUGCAAGUCAAAUGAAUCAUGGUGAACUCACCACAGCAAAUAAUGCCUGUGAUAUGGAACCAUAGCAGAAAACCAGUGUUCUCUUUUGGUGACAUCCAAUACUUGCUGUGUAACUUUGAAUUACUAUAAAUACACUAAGGUCCCAAUAAAUUUUGUCUCUCAUUACUGUGUUAGAUCUGUAUGACUACUAGCUAGCAAGUUAUGACUUUACACUAUUAUUUUCAUAAUGACUCAAGAUAUAAAAUAUUGUUAAAACAUUUUGUUGUUGUGAAAUUUCAGUUAAGUGUGUGAGCAGGAGGAGAAAAAAUGUAAAGAAUUAAGUCUUAGCACAUUCUCUUAACUUUUGUUUCCUAUCUUUUGCUUUUUUGGGCCACACCCGGUGAUGCACAGGGGUUACUCCUGGCUCUGCACUCAGGAAUUACUCCUGAUGGUGCUAAGGCAACCAUAUGGCAUGCUGGGGGUCGAAACCGUAUCAGCUAUGUGCAAGGCAAAUGCCCUACCUGCUGUACUAUAGCUCCAGCCCCCUCUCUUAGCUUUUGUUGUCUACUUUUUGUUGAUUUUGGAUCAAUCCAACAACGCUCAGAGGUUACUCCUGGCUCUGCACUCAGGAAUUACUCUUGGCAGUACUCAGGGGACCAUAUAGGAUGCUGGGGAUUGAAACCUGGUCCGCCCUGUGAAAGGUAAACACUGUAACUGCUGUACUACCACACUGAUGACUUGUUGUCUACAAUUUUUAGUUCUCUAUGUCCCCUCUCCAUACUUUUCUGUCAUCUGCCAUAUCUUUUAUAUUUAUUUACAUCUUAACUAUUUUCUUUUUUUUAAUUUAAUAGUUUAUUUUUAAUUAGUGAGUCAACGUGAGGGUACAGUUACAGAUUUAUACAUUUUUGUGCUCAUGUUUCUCCCUUACAAAGUUUGAUAACCCAUCCCUUCACCAGUGCCCAUUCUCCACCACCAGUAAACCCAACAUCCCUCCCCCCCCUCUCCAGUCCUGCCUCCCCCCACCCCACACUGCCACUAUGGCAGGGUAUUCCCUUUUGUUCUGUCUUUCUGAUUAGGUGUUAUGGUUUGCAAUAAAGGUGUUGAGUGGC